UACGUAGGUGGCGAGCGUUGUCCGGAUUUAUUGGGCGUAAAGCGAGCGCAGGCGGAAAGAUAAGUCUGAUGUGAAAGCCCCCGGCUUAACCGAGGAAUUGCAUCGGAAACUGUGUUUCUUGAGUGAAGUAGAGGUAGGCGGAAUUCCCGGUGUAGCGGUGAAAUGCGUAGAGAUCGGGAGGAACACCAGUGGCGAAGGCGGCCUGCUGGACAUUAACUGACGCUGAGGCGCGAAAGCGUGGGGAUCAAACAGG
rnacentral:rRNA from 1 species